CUUCAAUAGGCCCCUAAAGGACAAUGCUGCCGGGAGGGGAAGGAAAGGGGGGGGGGGGGAAAAGCGGGCCCGAGUCCCGCCGGCUCUCUCCCGCCUCAACCUCGCGGCGCGGCGGGAGCUGCCCGCACCGCCCCGAGCCGCAGCGCUCAGCCCCGCUCCGCCGCCCGGCGCCGGCAGCGCGCGGCCGAAAGGUCACAGCGGGGCCCGCGCUGCGCUGUCACGGCCGCCCGAGCUCCGGCUCUUCCCGCCCGCUGUGCCGCGCCGCCCGCCCUUCGCCUCUCCCCUCCGGGCGCACCCGGCCCGCGGCGCGGCUCCCCCCGCCCCUCACCUGGCGCCGGGACCCCGCGGGUCGGAGCGGAGCGGAGCGCCGCGGGCGGGGCCGGGCCGGCCGCCAGCCGCUCGCACCGGGGCACCCCGGCCGGGCCCCCGGCCCCGCCUCCCGGCCCUGCCCGCCGCCGGCGCUCGCUGUCACCCCCCGGCCGGCCCCUCUCUCCCCUCCCGCCGCUUCCACUCCCAGCUCCCCCGCCCGGCCCGGGGAGCCGUCCUCCCGCCGCCCGGCCCCGCGGCUCCUCCUCUCGCCGUGCCGCCGGCGCGGGGAGGGAGGGAGCGAGGGAGGCCUCCCCGGCCGGGCCCGGCCCUCGGCGCGGCGGCGGGAACGGAGGCCCCGGGCCCCGUCCUCCCGCCGUCCCGGCCCUGCCCCUCCCGCCACUCUACCCGGGCUUUACCUGCCGUGGCGGCGCGGCGCGGGGCCCCGGGGCCUCUGGCAGCCGGAGGAGACGGCGGACUCCGUCCCGCUGCGGCCGUCCCCGAGUGAGGCGGGCGGGACGGAGCCGGGACCUGCCCCGGGAGGCGUUACGUAAACCGGCGGCGGCGGCGGCUCCCAGCGCCACGGGGAGGGAGGGAGGGGGGGAGGGAGGGGAGAAGGGGGGGGUGGGGGGGGAGGCGGCCGUUCCGUCACCCGGCAACAGGACUCAGCGCCCCGGCGGACCGCGCCGCAGGCCCCGCCCCGUAUCCUUCCGCCCAGAGGGCGGCCCGGAUCCCGCCGCUCAGGCGCGGGGCUGAGGGGAGCAGCGCGCGGGCCGUGAGGGGAGCGGGCAGCCCGUCCGGCUGCAUGGCGGGCAGGAAGGGCGGGGCAGGAGGGGAAGUGUCCCUUUGGCCCGGCUGUGCGCUCCGGCCCCGCCCGCCGGGAGAGCGCCGGGCGCCUGAGGAGAAAAGGGGCGGGAAGAGCCCGGGGAUGGAAUGCGCAGGAGAAGGAAGUGGGGAUAAUGACGGAGUGUCACCGUGUGCGGGCCCUCCGCGGGGCUCGGCGGCUCCGAGGGCACGGAGUGCAAAUAGAGUGGGUUCGGGAGCCGUUCUGAAAAGAAAGGCUGCCUUUGAGAGCCGCUGUCGGGAGCCGCGAAACUUUUAUCCCCGCGGAUGAAGUGCCGGGUUCGUCAGAGCUGUGUACUCACGGAGGGGUAAUGAAAGAGCAACGCUUUUAGCGUGGUGGAUGGAUGAAAAUAGGCCGCUGUGAGACUGAAAAUACGAUGAAGGUGGCACACCGCAGUGCUAAUUAAGUGUCUUAAUUGGGAAAAUAAUAACGCCCUCUCGGAUGUGCAUUGGGUCUGCUCAUUUCUCAGCUGUAUGAGUACACACAGGUGCAAGGAAAGUCAACAUUAUGUAAGAUGCCAAAAACCUUUGCUGGAACGUCGCUCCCUGCUGACAAGAUGAUCCCACACCGGGGUGUGGGCAUUCCGGAGAAUUAAACCUGUGUGUGAAAACACAUCUCAUAGAAACCAUGAACGCAUGCCAAGGUUUGCAAUGCCUAGGCCAGAGGAGGCUGGAGGAAAAUGGGCACUCGUCAUGGAAAGGCAGAAGACACUGUGACAGCAGAUGAUGACCAGCAUCUAGACAGAGAUGUGACCCAGAGGUUUUCAGGUAAAAAUGGAAAUGGAGAUGGAG
rnacentral:lncRNA from 1 species